AUUGAACGCUGGCGGCAGGCCUAACACAUGCAAGUCGAGCGAGUGGCGGACGGGUGAGCUAUGUCUGGGAAACUGCCCGAUGGAUGGGGCUAACUACUGGAAACUGUAGCUAAUACCGCAUACCAUCGGAUGUGCCCAGUUGGGAUUAUCUUGUCGUUGGGGUAACGGCUGACCAAGGCUAUGAUCCCUAGCUGGUCUGAGAGGAUGACCAGCCACACUGGAACUGAGACACGGUCCAGACUCCUACGGGAGGCAGCAGUGGGGAAUAUUGGACAAUGGGCGAAAGCCUGAUGCAGCCAUGCCGCGUGUGUGAAGAAGGCCUUCGGAUUGUAAAGUACUUUAAGCGGGGAGGCGUUACUCACAGAAGAAGCACCGGCUAACUCCGUGCCAGCAGCCGCGGUAAUUC
rnacentral:rRNA from 1 species